rnacentral:rRNA from 1 species
UCCGCAAAUACGCGAAAGCGUGACGGGGUUUACCCCGAGUGCCGUCCGCUGAGGGUGGCUUUUCCGCAGUGUAAUCAGCUGUGGGUAAUAAGGGGAGGGCAAGACUGGUGUCAGCCGCCGCGGUAACACCGGCUCCCCGAGUGGUAGGGAUGAUUAUUGGGCUUAAAGCGUUCGUAGCCGGCCUUACAAGUCUUCCGUUAAAUCCAACGACCUAAUCGUUGGGCCGCGGGAGACACUAUGAGGCUAGGGGGCGGGAGAGGUCGACGGUAUUCCAGGGGUAGGGGUGAAAUCCUAUAAUCCUUGGAGGACCACCAGUGGCGAAGGCGGUCGACCAGAACGCGCUCGACGGUGAGGGACGAAAGCUGGGGGAGCGAACCGGAUUAGAUACCCGGGUAGUCCCAGCUGUGAACGAUGCGGGCUAGGUGUUAGGGCAGAUAAGUUCCGCCCCGGUGCCGCAGGGAAACCGUUAAGCCCGCCGCCUGGGAAGUACGGUCGCAAGGCUGAAACUUAAAGGAAUUGGCGGGGGAGCACCACAAGGCGUGAAGCUUGCGGUUUAAUAGGAUUCAACGCCGGAU